rnacentral:lncRNA from 1 species
GUUGCCCAAAGUGACAAUCCAAGAGGGGGGGGUGAAUUAGUUUCUUCUAAAUUUUGGUGCUUUAAAAGCUUUCUUAAUUAAGUGCGGUGGUUGCUUUCUUAGAUUAUUAGAAUGAGUUAAACUAGAACAAAGAUAGAAGGUAAUGCAAGAAUAAAUGUAAACACAAGCACAAUACAAACACAACAAUAUAUAGUGGUUCGGUGCUCUCCUUAGCACCUACGUCCACUCCACAAGCGACCCCUUAGGAAUUCACUAUAAUCUCGCGGAUUACAGUUGGAUUGUUUUCCGG